CACGGGGGGAGCAAGCGUUGUUCGGAAUCACUGGGCGUAAAGGGCGUGUAGGCGGUCAGGUAAGUGAGAUGUGAAAUGCCCCGGCUCACCCGGGGACCGGCAUCUCAUACUGCUUGGCUUGAGUACGGGAGAGGAUGUGGGAAUUCCUGGUGUAGCGGUGAAAUGCGUAGAUAUCAGGAGGAACACCAGUGGCGAAGGCGACUUUCUGGCCUGUUCUUGACGCUGAGGCGCGAAAGCGUGGGGAGCAAACAGG
rnacentral:rRNA from 1 species